rnacentral:snRNA from 1 species
GUGCUCAGUUGGGCAGCACAUAUAUUAAAAUUGGAAAGAUACAGAGAUUAGCAUGGCCCCUGCAUAAGGAUGACAC